AAGUCGUAACAAGGUUUCCGUAGGUGAACCUGCGGAAGGAUCAUUACCGAGUUCAUGCCCUUCGGGGUAGAUCUCCCACCCUUUGCAUACUAUACCUUUGUUGCUUUGGCGGGCCGCCUAGCUACUGGCUUCGGCUGGUAAGUGCCCGCCAGAGAACCCAAAACCCUGAAUUAUUAGUGUCGUCUGAGUAAAAUAUUUAAUAUUUAAAACUUUCAACAACGGAUCUCUUGGCUCUG
rnacentral:misc_RNA from 1 species